AUUGAACGCUGGCGGCAUGCUUUACAUAUGCAAGUCGAACGGUAACAGGUUAAGCUGACGAGUGGCGAACGGGUGAGUAAUGCAUCGGAACGUGCCCGGUCGUGGGGGAUAACGCAGCGAAAGCUGCGCUAAUACCGCAUACGAUCUGAGGAUGAAAGCGGGGGACCGUAAGGCCUCGCGCGAUCGGAGCGGCCGAUGUCAGAUUAGGUAGUUGGUGAGGUAAAGGCUCACCAAGCCAACGAUCUGUAGCUGGUCUGAGAGGACGACCAGCCACACUGGGACUGAGACACGGCCCAGACUCCUACGGGAGGCAGCAGUGGGGAAUUGUUCGCAAUGGGCGCAAGCCUGACGACGCAACGCCGCGUGGAGGAUGAAGAUCUUCGGGUCGUAAACUCCUUUCGAUCGAGACGAACGGCCCCGGGGUGAACAAUCCCGGGGAGUGACGGUACCGAGAGAAGAAGCCCCGGCUAACUCCGUGCCAGCAGCCGCCGUAAAAC
rnacentral:rRNA from 1 species